GCUGGCGGCGUGCCUAAUACAUGCAAGUCGAGCGAACAGAUAAGGAGCUUGCUCCUUUGACGUUAGCGGCGGACGGGUGAGUAACACGUGGGUAACCUACCUAUAAGACUGGAAUAACUCCGGGAAACCGGGGCUAAUGCCGGAUAACAUUUAGAACCGCAUGGUUCUAAAGUGAAAGAUGGUUUUGCUAUCACUUAUAGAUGGACCCGCGCCGUAUUAGCUAGUUGGUAAGGUAACGGCUUACCAAGGCAACGAUACGUAGCCGACCUGAGAGGGUGAUCGGCCACACUGGAACUGAGACACGGUCCAGACUCCUACGGGAGGCAGCAGUAGGGAAUCUUCCGCAAUGGGCGAAAGCCUGACGGAGCAACGCCUCGUGAGUGAUGAAGGUUUUCNNAUCNNAAAACUCUGUUAUUUGGGAAGAACAAAUGUGUAAGUAACUGUGCACGUCUG
rnacentral:rRNA from 2 species